UACGUAGGGUGCAAGCGUUGCUCGGAAUUAUUGGGCGUAAAGCGCGCGUAGGCGGCUACUUAAGUCGGAUGUGAAAGCCCUUGGCUCAACUGAGGAAGUGCACCCGAAACUGAGUGGCUUGAGUACCAAAGAGGGUCGCGGAAUUCCCGGUGUAGAGGUGAAAUUCGUAGAUAUCAGGAGGAACACCGAUGGCGAAGGCAGGUCUCUGGGCCACUACUGACGCUGAGAAGCGAAAGCAUGGGGAGCGAACAGG
rnacentral:rRNA from 1 species